UGGGGAAUAUUGCACAAUGGGCGCAAGCCUGAUGCAGCCAUGCCGCGUGUAUGAAGAAGGCCUUCGGGUUGUAAAGUACUUUCAGCGAGGAGGAAGGCAUUAAGGUUAAUAACCUUAGUGAUUGACGUUACUCGCAGAAGAAGCACCGGCUAACUCCGUGCCAGCAGCCGCGGUAAUACGGAGGGUGCAAGCGUUAAUCGGAAUUACUGGGCGUAAAGCGCACGCAGGCGGUCUGUCAAGUCGGAUGUGAAAUCCCCGGGCUCAACCUGGGAAAUGCAUCCGAAACUGGCAGGCUAGAGUCUUGUAGAGGGGGGUAGAAUUCCAGGUGUAGCGGUGAAAUGCGUAGAGAUCUGGAGGAAUACCGGUGGCGAAGGCGGCCCCCUGGACAAAGACUGACGCUCAGGUGCGAAAGCGUGGGGAGCAAACAG
rnacentral:rRNA from 1 species